rnacentral:rRNA from 1 species
UACAGAGGUCUCAAGCGUUGUUCGGAUUCAUUGGGCGUAAAGGGUGCGUAGGUGGUGAUGCAAGUCUGGUGUGAAAUCUCGGAGCUCAACUCCGAAAUUGCACCGGAUACUGCGUGACUCGAGGACUGUAGAGGAGAUCGGAAUUCACGGUGUAGCAGUGAAAUGCGUAGAUAUCGUGGAGGAAGACCAGUUGCGAAGGCGGAUCUCUGGGC